CAGAGUCCACACGAGUCCCUCAACCGAGCGGUAACCGGGAUCCCAGGACUCAGCAAAAGCGACCUUGGGAGUGAUAGCACACCAGGAUGCUCCGGUUCACUCUGCGAACAGACGCCCUCGGGCCACAAAGAGCCUGCAGCACAGGGUCCAUCUAUCAACAUCAGAGGAGCAGCUGUCUGCUGAGCACUCCUAAGCACUCUGACAGCACACUCGUGCAUUUUCAUACUACCCUAACAUGGAAGGGGUGAUUAUAGCUGAUCGAUUUGAACUUACUCCUUCCCCAUCUUUCUUCUUGGUACUUCGGACACUCCUUAACACCUCGUAAGAGGCUGACAGCUGGGGAUAUACCAGGCCACAUUAAUUGGUUGUCAUUUCUCAAUCUCAAACCUUGUUUUGAGAUUUGGAAAUCAAGGCUUGUAGUAGAUUAUUGAGCAAAGAAAGCACUUUUGAAAUUGACUGUCUCAUGAGAGGGUUUUGGGAAAUUCUACAUGAAGGGUGAUGAUUGGUAAGCAGUCUGUCAUGCUGGCACAGAAUAAGACAGCAGAGGCUGUCACAGUUCCUUUGCUGUCCAUGGCCUGGACCAUUGGACCUUUGUAGGCCAGUGUUCCCACUGAGAAAGGGACUUAGCAGAAUCUCAGAGACUGAGACUGCUCUACAUCAAGUUGAGUGACUUCUUUUCCAUAUUUCUAUGGUGGAUAGG